ACUCAGAAACUGACAUACGGUAUGGUGCCAUCGACACCGGCUUCGUUCCUGGAACAAGGUCAAUUGAAAAUUCAACCUCCCUCUCUGGUGGCACAUCAGGAAUCUCAUCAGGAAAUACUUCUGGAAAUUCAUUCACUACAGGUAACCCAUCAAUCACAGCUUGAUUUUCUAACGACAAUUGUGCCAUUAGAGAAUACAUCAGAAUUCCAUCACGUUCAAACUGUUUCAUCUGUUUUGUAGACAGAAGCUCAACCUCACCUUCUUCCUCAGCAGAAGAAAAAUGCACCGUCUUACUAUAGCAGUUGAUAUGAACUCGAUUAUAUUCUAAC
rnacentral:lncRNA from 1 species